GUGGGUGCUCAUUUUUUGUUUGAGAUAAAAGCACAAUCACAUUGCUAUACCUCCUGCAGGCGUGGUCAAGUGCUGGAGAAAUGGUCGUAGGCCAGCGGAUUUGUCCUCGGGCCUCUCAGGUCAAGCACCAGCUGUGAUGGGCGUGGACUGUUCACAGGCUGCCAGCAAACCACUCAGGUGUCCUCUUUCCUCCCCAAUCAACUUCUUGCACUUUUAACUCUUCCUGGGUCAGCUUCACCUGCCUCCUGCAAGACCCAGUUAAAUCAGGAAGAAAGAUUCCAGGCUUCAUAUGUAUACUCUCCUUUUACUUCCUUAUGAAGUUGAACAGAUAGGACAUGCCACAGACAAUAGAAAGUGAAUAGAAUUGGGCUUGAAGUAAAAGAAAUGGGAUUGGGUAUUUGGGGAGAGGAGGGACAAGGAGACUUUCUAACCAUGUGCAGAUAUGAUCAUCUUAAACAGCCCAAUAAGAAGUUCCAGAGCACAGAUUGCCCAACAGAAGAGUCCGGCAUUGGGCAGAAGUGGGUCGUCCUUACGACCCCCACUGCACUAGCUUAUUGGUGAGGGCUUUUCCUGGAAGAGUGAAGCUCAGCUCAAAAGAGCAUGGACAUAGAGAAUGGAAUGAUAGAGAUUAGAGGUUGGAAAGGGUGGGAGGGUAGGAGAGGGGUGAGGGGUGAGAAAUUACUUAAUGGGUACAAUGUAUAUUAUUCAUGUGCUAGAUACACUAAAAGCCUACACUACACCACUAUGCAAUAUAUUCAUGUAACAAAACCACACAUGUACUUCUUACAUUUUCUUUAAUGCUGAAGUAGAUCCUGCGGUAACUAACACAUAGAGUCUAGCUUAACUCUUUGCAGUUGAAGAGCAGGUUAUAUUUUGAAAGGAGAUACGAGUGACAAUCCCAUGGUGGCCACGUCUCUGGGCUUACAGAUGCCUAAGACUUUGAUCCUUGGUUAAAAUCCUUUCAAAAUCAACAAACACAAGAAAUAUAUAGAAGUAUACCAGAUCUAAACUAAAAGUUUUUUUUUACAUUGCUAUGUAUGCUCCACUAUUCCAAAUAAGCGUCCAAGUACACUAUAGUUGGGUUUUCAAAAUUGCUUAUUUUAUAAUCUCUAACGGACUAGCAACAACCAAAAAGGUAUGAAAGCUGAAAGGACCUCAUGAAUAAAGGGCUUCUUGAGUUCAGUUGGAUCUUGCCUAAGUCAGUCUUAUGUCCCAUGAUCAAACACAUCUUUGAGCAAUAUAGGCUUGGGAUAUACAGUGUCACUUGAAAGUCACAAGAUUGCCAUCGUGAUGCUGUGCGUUUUAACCAGUAUUUUCUUAAAGCUAAAUAGGCCACUGCUUCCAAACAGGAUGGGGUAACUGAGCCAGGUUUACUCUCCAACAUGAAACAAAACUUGGAGAAAAUCCAACAGGACACCAGGGAAACAUUUGUGAAAAAUUCAUAUAAUGGCAUACUAUUUGGAAACAGGAAGGAAUGGAAUACCGAUACACUUGAAAACAUGGUUGAAUCUAGAAACAGUUAUGCUGAGUAAAAGAAGCUAGACACAAAAUAGUACCUACUGUAUAAUUGCAUGCAUACAAUGUUUUGAAACAAGCAAACAGAUCACCAUGGUAGAAAUCAGAAGAGUGGUAGUCUCUGCUAGCGAAAAGGAUCAAAUGUGAAAAGGCAAGAGGGAACUCCUACAUCUUGAUAGGCGUGUGGAUUACCCAGGUGUCCGCAUUGUCAAAAGUAAAACUAUAUAUUUAAAAUCAUUUAUUCAUUUUAAUGGAUAAAAAUUAUACCUCAAUUUUUUAAAGUUUCUCUAAAACGAUCUGUCGAAUGGCCCUUGAAUAGCAUUUAAACAUUUUAUUUUUUCUAAUAGCCAUUUUUGUGUAAUAGCUAAAAUGUUGAAUUAUUAGGAUUAUCUGCAAUUUUAACUUUAAUAUACCAUAAUAGCCCUGACUCAAAAUUAUCUCUGUGUGAAUAGCUUAUAU
rnacentral:lncRNA from 10 species